rnacentral:rRNA from 1 species
CUUCUCUAAAAUUAAAUAGAGAAGAAAAGCGGGGGAUCUUCGGACCUCGCGCUAUGAGAUGAGCCUACGUCGGAUUAGUUAGUUGGUGGGGUAAUGGCCUACCAAGACGAUGAUCCGUAGCUGGUCUGAGAGGACGAUCAGCCACACUGGGACUGAGACACGGCCCAGACUCCUAUGGGAGGCAGCAGUGGGGAAUAUUGGACAAUGGGGGAAACCCUGAUCCAGCAAUGCCGCGUGUGUGAAGAAGGCCUUCGGGUUGUAAAGCACUUUCGGUAGGAAAGAAAGUCUUAAAGCUAAUAUCUUUAAGAGUUGACGUUACCUACAGAAGAAGCACUGGCUAACUCUGUGCCAGCAGCCGCGGUAAUACAGAGAGUGCAAGCGUUAAUCGGAAUUAUUGGGCGUAAAGCGCGCGUAGGUGGACAUUUAAGUCGGAUGUGAAAGCCCUAAGCUCAACUUGGGAAUUGCGUCCGAUACUGAAUGCCUUGAGUAUGGUAGAGGGAAGUGGAAUUUCCGGUGUAGCGGUGAAAUGCGUAGAUAUCGGAAGGAACACCAGUGGCGAAGGCGACUUCCUGGACCAAUACUGACACUGAGGUGCGAAAGCGUAGGGAGCAAACAGGAUUAGAGACCCUGGUAGUCCACGCUGUCAACGAUGAGAACUAGCUGUUGGAGAGUUUACUCUUUAGUAGCGAAGCUAACGCGUUAAGUUCUCCGCCUGGGGAGUACGGCCGCAAGGUUAAGACUCAAAGAAAUUGACGGGGGCCCGCACAAGCGGUGGAGCAUGUGGUUUAAUUCGAUGCAACACGAAAAACCUUACCUACCCUUGACAUCCUCGGAACUUGU